rnacentral:rRNA from 1 species
UACGUAGGUGUCGAGCGUUGUCCGGAUUUAUUGGGCGUAAAGAGCCCGCAGGCGGCUUGGCAAGUUUGAGGUGAAAUCUCCCGGCUUAACUGGGAGGGGGCCUCGAAAACUGCCAGGCUUGAGGCAUGGAGAGGGAUGCGGAAUUCCCGGUGUAGUGGUGAAAUGCGUAGAUAUCUGGAGGAACACCGGUGGCGAAGGCGGCACCCUGGACCGGCAUUGACGCUGAGGAGCGAAAGCCAGGGGAGCAAACGGG